AACCGCAAACACAGACGUGGCGAUUCAGUCGCAGUAGCAAAAUUCUGUUUAAAUUGCUUCAGAAUUAUUCACAUUAUUUCAGUGGUGCCCAAAGUGGGUCCUGGAGAGCCGGAAUCCUGCAUGCUCUAGUUCUCUCCCUGGUUUAAUGUACCUGGAUCAAUUGAUGGCUCAUUAGAAGGCCUAAGAAGAACAUUGACCUGCUGAAAAGGUUGUUACUACCAACCAGGGAGAGAACUAAAACAUGCAGGAUGCCGGCCCUCCAGGACUCACUGUGGGCAGCCCUGCAUUAGAUGUUCAUGUAGUUCAAAAAUAGUAACUUGUUUUAUAUCGUGAUAUACAUCGAUAUCGACAUAUCGUCACCUAACUAAAAUAUCACCACCUCUUUGUUUCCAAAAUAUCCACCCAGGCCUGACAAUGAUUUUCUAAAAUUCAACAUUCUCCAUCGGUCGUCAGUUAAACAGCGGUAGCUGUCCUAAAAGAAAAAAACCCCCCAACACUUUCUGUCCCUCAUCCUGCAACAUUCAUGUUCACACUUGAAAGUACAGAAUGUGCUCCUUAGCUCAAACGGCCGCCUCGAGCCACGUCUUGACGACAGACGGCAAUCUGAUCGUAGGUUAGGAAGAAGACGGGUUUCAAAGAGUAUAGUCUGGUCGCCGCCCAUCACGGCUUCACCUCGAUCAGCCGUGAACUGAACACCGCAGACAAACACCAACAGACCUUCCAGAGCGUCUCGUAAAUAGCUUGGAUAAAAAAUAUUACAGCAAUAACUACAAAGCUCACACUCUUUAUUUAGUCAACGCCUCGCAGCGUUUAAAAGAUGGAAAUCACUGACAUGUUCUUUCCACCCGGUGUUCCUGGGUUUCAUAACAGCCACAGGUGAAGAAGAUUCUACAUAUUUACAACCAAACGCCACAUCAUUCAAAGAUUAUUGAGGAUUACUGUUUCAUCUUCAUACCAGACAGCCUGAAACAAGAACGACAGGAGAAAGAGGACACUGAAAGAUCCAGAAACGCCAACGAGCUGUUAAAGCUAUCUAGGAGACAUGUUUCACCUUCACGUCUUAUCGUCACAUCAAAUAAAAGAGUUUACAUGCUUCAUUGGGGACGACUAGAGUUAAUUAUUCCUCCUCAUAUAUUCCUUAUCCAAACAAAGAUGAAAUGUUUUUUCUCUAAAAACAAUCAAUAACAAUCAAUACUGACAUCUAGCUUCCUGUAUGCCAUUAUUUCCAGCCAUUCUUGCAUUAGUUUGGUGUGGAGUGCUUUAGACAGUAACAAUAUUGUGCAAUAAAAACAUGAGCACAUGAGUAUGCUUCAACAUAGAGCAGUGGUCAUCAUACCCGACUGAGCCUGAGAUUGUUCACUACAGGAAACAGUAAGCUAAUGCUAACGCAACACCCCUCCUGUUGGACGAGAUGUUGAGGAUUUGAUGAAAUGUACUUGCAUAGUUUUUCUGAUAUACAGGACAAUGCCUCCUCUGAUCAAAGUUUUCCAGGGGUCAUAAGCAACAAACAUGCAGCCAGGCAGGAAUCCUGCUCUGCAUGUCUUUUCACCUGUUUAUGGUUUUCAUGUUGGGGGUUCACCUUCAGGAUUCUGGGCGUGAGGAUGUAGCUGGCCAGAGGGGUGUCUAGGAUUAUCUUUCUCUCUCUGUCUCCCUCCUGAAUGUUUGGAUAUUUCUUUACGACAACUGUAUAAAGAUGUUAUUGGGACUUAAAUGAUUUAAUUGGGCAUCUUUUCAACUGUUGGAAGAUGAGCAACAGAGUGAAGAAUAAACCUUUCUCUGUAUGAAAUGGGGUAAUUUUUCUUUGGAACUAAAGUUGAGAUUUUCUUUUGUUAGUUAUUUACAACUCAGUGGAGAUUCCUCCUGAAAACUUGAUACCCUGGUGUUACGGGUGCUAGGGCAGUCAUCCAGCAGCCUACUGUGUUUUUGAGCUAAGAAUGUUUAAAGUUAACAAAAAAUGUGAAAAUGUAACUUGGUAUUUAUGUGUUAUUAGAAGAUAUUACCAACAAUACCUAAACAGCAAAUAUAAAAAAACAUUUAAUCCUUUUUCCAUGACUUGUCAUGUACUUUGCUGAAGUUGUUAGCUUGCAGACCAUUAAAGACAGGAAGUGGUCAGAGAGUUCCAGUGAAUUAAAAAAAAACAAAAAAAAAACACCUGACCUCAGUCUUCCUCUGUGUUCACAUACUGACCGUACUAUGUUGCCAUUGUGCUUCCAACAGUUCUACUAAAGAGACUUUAUCCCAUCUCUGCUUACUGAUGCAUAAAAGAACCUGUAAUAAAUAGACAAACAACAUUUAGCCUGUUGGGGGCACAAGUGAAGCCCGAUGGGAAACUCUGCUUACUAUGCAUUAUAUUUUCAAUGAAAUCAAUAACCUGCUCCAAACAUUGAAAUAAAACAACAAUGACUCUGUAUAAAUUCCCCAAUCUUAAAUUCUUAUCAGUGAUAGCCUCAGAAGGAGCAAGCUGAAACGUUUGUCUUGUUGAUGGAAAGAACAGGGUAAAGCGCAGAUCACUGCAGCUCCCCAGCGGACACGCCCCCUCUUCCCUGGGUGCAACAUCAGUCCACCGGUCUGCCAUCUUAAAUCUGCGUGACAGCCGCGCCUGCUGCUGACAGGCACCCCAAGGACAAGCUGUGCUCUGUUAAACACAAGGCAGCCACCUUUGAAGCGCUGAGAUGUGUGUGCACCUGUUGGUGUGUGUGGAUGGGAGACUGACAGCUCCAGCCCGAGACAAAAGGUUCCUCCACUAAAGACAGCAUCUUUAAACACCUCCACGGGAACAAGUUAGCAGAAAAACUACUUUCAUGAAGACAAAUACAAGGCAGUUUUGUUUACUAGCUGUUUUUUUCCCCUUUAUACUCACAAAUAUUGAGAUAAUAAGAGUUAAUUUUCUGAUUGUCUCUCAGCGUGCGUUCGAUUCAAGCGUUUCAUCCAAAAAUAUAAUUCAAGGAGGGAACAAAUGGAGCAAAAAAAAAAAAACAUAAUAAUGAGCAGGAUUUAGCUGCACUAAUUUGUUGAAAAUAUUAACAUUUAGAUCACGUUUCUAACUCGCUCAUCUUUGAUAGGAGCAGGAUUUCACAUAGAUGGGUUUAAUAACUAUAAUAUAAUAUUUAGAGACCUGCUGGCUCUCAGGGUCAACAGCUCUUGGUUUCUUCAUCACAGGCCAACUCUUCCCCAGUCCUGUUUUAAUUCAAUUCAAUUCAAAAAUAGUCUAUUGAUCCCAAAGGGAAAUUAAACGUUGUUGUAACUCAUUUCAAGAGUUAUUGUAGAUGGUGAUGGAAGAAACGCUAGAGAACAACUUUACUGUUGCUCCUCUGAUAUCAUACAUCAGAAGGAUUUUUGGUAGAAACAAAAAUUGACAUUCGCAAAUUUAAACUUUAGGAAAAUGUGGAGACCAAAAAUCAGGCUGACUGUGUUGGUUAAACAUGUAAAAAUAAAGUGCAACAAAUCUUUAUUUCAAAUGAUUUAGAAAGUGCAAUUAAGGAUUCUAAGUAUGAUGUAAAAUAAAGAGCACUCAGAGCACAAAGCAUAGAAUUAGACUAAACAGAUAGAUCUGCCUUUAUGGAUUGGGCUCAUUGUCAUCGAUACCUGAUCAAGAAUUUUU